ensembl:lncRNA
ACAGACAUGAUCAAAUUUACGACGAGGAUAAUAAAAAAAUGAUAAAUAAAAAACAGUACUCUCAUUCUUACUUAAUAAAUGACCAAAAAUAUUUAAUAAAUCUGAAAAAAGAAAAAGAGUACAACUCGGAUAUUUUACUUUCUAUUAGUACUUCAAGUGAACAAAAGAAUGAAAAUAUAAAAAAAAAAAAAAAAGAAGAAGAAGAAGAAGAAGAAAGGAUAAAAUUGUUAAACGUUGCAUGUGCUGGUGUUAGUGGUGAUACAAAAUUUAAUAACGAAAAUGACGAGACGACUUCUAACACCGUACUUAAUAAUAAUAACAUAAGUAAAGAGAAAGAAAAAACAAAUGUUGAGGAAACACAAAAAGAUAUAAAACACACAAAUAACAUGAAAAUAAUAGAAUUAUAUGAACAGAAAUUAGAAACAUACGGAACAAAUGUUAACAACGAAUUAAACAGUGAUAAUUAUGAUAAUGCGAAUAAGCGUAUUCGUAGCAACAGUAAAAGAAGUAGCAAAAGUAGCAAAAGUAGCAACAGUAACAACAGUAACAACAGUAAAAACAGUAACAACAGUAACAACAGUAGAAACAGUAGAAACAGUAGAAACAGUAGUAUUGACACAAGAAUGAGAAAAAAUAUAUCUAAUAUAUUUAAAGAAAAACCAACAUCUAAGCCUAAAAUCAUAAAAGAAAUACAAAAAACCAAAACAGAAGAAGUAAGAAAUGAAAAGAACUCAAUAAAUACAACAGGUAAAACUAAUAGUUAUGAAAAUAGAGGAGGUAUAAAUGNNNNNNNNNNUAAUAAUGCUUUUAUAGUGAACAGACAUGAUCAAAUUUACGACGAGGAUAAUAAAAAAAUGAUAAAUAAAAAACAGUACUCUCAUUCUUACUUAAUAAAUGACCAAAAAUAUUUAAUAAAUCUGAAAAAAGAAAAAGAGUACAACUCGGAUAUUUUACUUUCUAUUAGUACUUCAAGUGAACAAAAGAAUGAAAAUAUAAAAAAAAAAAAAAAAGAAGAAGAAGAAGAAGAAGAAAGGAUAAAAUUGUUAAACGUUGCAUGUGCUGGUGUUAGUGGUGAUACAAAAUUUAAUAACGAAAAUGACGAGACGACUUCUAACACCGUACUUAAUAAUAAUAACAUAAGUAAAGAGAAAGAAAAAACAAAUGUUGAGGAAACACAAAAAGAUAUAAAACACACAAAUAACAUGAAAAUAAUAGAAUUAUAUGAACAGAAAUUAGAAACAUACGGAACAAAUGUUAACAACGAAUUAAACAGUGAUAAUUAUGAUAAUGCGAAUAAGCGUAUUCGUAGCAACAGUAAAAGAAGUAGCAAAAGUAGCAAAAGUAGCAACAGUAACAACAGUAACAACAGUAAAAACAGUAACAACAGUAACAACAGUAGAAACAGUAGAAACAGUAGAAACAGUAGUAUUGACACAAGAAUGAGAAAAAAUAUAUCUAAUAUAUUUAAAGAAAAACCAACAUCUAAGCCUAAAAUCAUAAAAGAAAUACAAAAAACCAAAACAGAAGAAGUAAGAAAUGAAAAGAACUCAAUAAAUACAACAGGUAAAACUAAUAGUUAUGA